rnacentral:rRNA from 1 species
GACGAACGCUGGCGGCGUGCUUAACACAUGCAAGUCGAACGGAAAGGCCUCUUUCGGGGGGUACUCGAGUGGCGAACGGGUGAGUAACACGUGAGUAACCUGCCCUUGACUUUGGGAUAACUUCAGGAAACUGGGGCUAAUACCGGAUAGGAGCUCCUGCUGUCUGGUGGGGGUUGGAAAGUUUCGGCGGUUGGGGAUGGACUCGCGGCUUAUCAGCUUGUUGGUGGGGUAGUGGCUUACCAAGGCUUUGACGGGUAGCCGGCCUGAGAGGGUGACCGGCCACAGUGGGACUGAGAUACGGCCCAGACUCCUACGGGAGGCAGCAGUGGGGAAUAUUGCACAAUGGGUGGAAGCCUGAUGCAGCAACGCCGUGUGCGGGAUGACGGCCUUCGGGUUGUAAACCGCUUUCGCUCAUGACGAAGCUUUGUGUGACGGUAGUGGGUAAAGAAGCACCGGCUAACUACGUG